UCGGAUCUUUGUCACCUUCCUUUCCCGCCUUGGGCCUGUGUUUUUCUCUGUUCCUGUCUAGAUGCAGAGGCCCUACCCUGGUCCCAGGCAGCUCAAACACCUUCCUGGGUCUGGUACCUAGGCUCCCCCAGCAAGCUCUGGGCUCUCUGGAAGCCGGAAGAGGCUGUCCUUUCAUCAGGAGCUUGUAGGCCAUUCCACACACUCCAGCAACCGUGCUCCCUUGAACAAAAAGAGCCCACUCUGAGGUCUCUUGAAGGCAGAAGUGCCUGAGCCUGAUAGUUCACCCCUGUGUGCUCCUACGCACAGGCACGUGCACCACAUGACGCAGAACAGCCUUCCAGUCCAUCGAGGUAAAAAGGUGUCAUGAAAGCCUCGGUUCAAGCCCCAGUCCUGCAUGAAACCAGGAGAGGCGCUGCACGCCUGUAAGCUCAGCAGUUCGGAGGCAGGAGCAUCUGGUGUUCCAGGCUCUCUGGCUAUAUGGGAAGUUCAACACUAACCUACAUGAAACCAGACAAAUGAGCAACAGAGCAUGCUCGGUGGUUCAAGCUCUUGCCCCACAAGCCUGGUGACCUGAGGAUGGUCCCAGAGCCCAUGGAGAGGGGAGAGGGGAGAAACUGACUCCCUGAAAUCAUCCUCUGACCUCCACACAGGUGCCACGGCAAUGGAGCACCAGCCACACACAUCACACACAAUAAUGAUUGAUAAAAUUUUAAAAGAAAAUGGUAGAAAUUACCUCCCCUCUGAUUAACUGUGGGAUUCGAACACACGGCUGGCUGGCUUCCCCCAAAUCCCUGGGCUCGCCUGGGACCCUGGUUGCCCUUGUCAUCAUGAGGAAAGCUGGGCAUAAAGGUAUCAUUAAGGACAGAGAUGUGGAGACAGGGGAGAGGGAUGGCAGAUUUAAUGAGAGACCUACUGUGAGAAGUGUAGAAGGAGAGACAGGUUUCCAGGUCUCUCGUCUGAGUGGCAGGCUGUUCAAGGGUGACUUCUACAUGCCAGGAAGCGGGAUUAAUGGGGGGAUAAGGUUGUAAUUGAGAAUUCCUCAGUGAAGUGCAUCCCUCUCUGGUAGAGCCUAAAGCCUCCAGCCCAUAGGUGACAGAGAUGAUCAACCUGGACCGACCCCCUAAUACCCAAUAUCUAUGGGACCAUCUGGGAACUGUGGGUUCUGAAGGACCAGGAUAGAAAGCCAAGCAUGGGGCUCACGACUGCCGUUAAGCAGAGGUCAGAAGUUCAAGGCCAGCCUGGGCUAUACAGUACGUUUUGGAACUAGCCUAGGCUACAGUGGUGAGUUUCAGGCCAGCCUGGACCACAUAGUGAGACAGCGAGGAGGUAAGGAGGAAGAGGAAGAGAAAGAGGAGAAAGAGAGAGGACUAGAGAAAUGACUCCGUAAUUGAGAGUGCUCACUGCUGAAGCCAGGCAGUGGUGUUAACACCUUUACUCCCGGCACUCAGGAGGCAGAAGUAAGUGGGUCUCUGAGUUCUAGUCAAGCAUAGUCUACAGAGUUCCAGGACAGCCAGGGCUACACAGAAAAAAGGAGGAGGAUCACACUGGCAACAAGGAGGAAGAGGAAGAGAAAGAGGAGAAGGAAGAGUAGGAGGAGGAAGAGGAGGAGGGGGAAUCGGGGGAGAGAAGGAGGAGAGGGAGGGAGAGGAGGAGGGGGAGGAGAAGGAGGGGAGGAGGGGAGGGAGGAGGAGAGAGUUCUUGCUGCUGAAGCAUGAGGAUAUCCAGCCUCAGUGCCAACAUCAUAAGUCAGGGCAGGCAUGGCCCAGUGCACACAUGGCCCAGGGCAUAUAUGGCCCAGUACAUGCAUGCAAUCCCAGUACUGAAGGUGUUGUUGAAGACAGGAGGAUCUCUGGGGCUUGCAAAACUGCCUAACAAAAUAAAAUUAACAAACAAAUCUAUCAGCUCCAAGUUCCAUGGAUCAAAGAAAUAAAGGAGAGAGAGCGUCCUCCUCUGGUUUCCAUGUGCACACACAGGCAUUUGCACACAUGUACAUGCAUCAUACCUAUACCCACAGACUAAGACACUGGAAAGACAGGAGAGAAAGAAAAGGAGGAAGCAGGGGAGGGAGAAGGGGAAGGGAAAGAAAGAAAAGGUGAAAGUAGGCCAAUGAGAUGGCUCAGCAGCUAAAGGCGCUUGCUGCCAAGCCUGACAACCUGAGUUCAAUCCCCCCAGGACCCACACGGUGGAAGGGGAGAACUGACUUUCAACACACACACACACACACACACACACACACACACACAAUACAUAUAUAUAUAUAUAUAAUAUAUAUAUACACACACAUAUAUAUGGGAAAGAAAGAGCCAGGUGUAAUGAUGAGUAUAUCUUUAGUCUCAGCACAGGGGAGGCAGAGACAGGCAGAUCUCUAUGAGUUCAAGGCCACCCUGGUCUACAUAGCAAGUACGGGGACACCAGGGCUACAUAAUAAGACCUUGUCUCAAAUACACACACACACACACACACACACACACACACACACACACACACACAGGUAUAUGGGGAAGAGGGAAGAGAAGAGGGGUAGGGGAGGGGAAAGAGGUGAGAUUGUGGGUAGACAGCCAUGCCACAAUACUCUGGAGUUAGCCCUUUACCCCUUGGGGGCUGGAAAUGGCUGGCUCUCUACAGGUCCCCUAUUCGCACCAUGCUUACCAGCGCAGAGAGCUUCCCAACCUGCAGGAGAAUUCUAGGAAGGCCAAAUCUGACCCGGGGAGCGGCCUCCAUGUCUGGCCUCCGUCCAUUCCUCCAGCCAGGAGAGGCAGGGUGACCUCACAGAUGCCACAGGGUGGGGGUCCAGUUGCCAUGGGGACCCAGUUGCCACAUGACACACUACCCUUUUCCACUGAUCCCCUUACCUGCUCCUCUGAGCUCAAGUCUGGCUACAAGGUCAUCACAGACCGGAUAACUGAUCCCUAGGAUCAAUUCUCUAUCUACUCAGUUUAUCUGCCAGACAUGGGUGGUGGAGAGGUAGGGAGACGGGGAUGUGGAGAAAGAAGGACAAAAUGAAGGAGGGAUGAGGAGAACAAAUCUGUAUGGACUUACCUUCCAGAUCGGACCCUGAGGGUAGCAGAUUUGCCAUAGGAGAAGCCCCAGCUUAGCUUCCUCAACUGACACCCCAUUAUCCUCACCACCAGGCCUCUCUCCCUGUCCCUUCCCUGUCCCUUCCCUGUCCCCAUCAGUUUCAGGCUGGAGAAUGAGUGUGCAGUCUUGGAGUUUCUCCAUUCAGAGAACCAGGAAGGACCAGCUGAGAGCACAAAGGAAUCGGUGUAUGCUCCCCUGCACCGCGCCAGGGGGCGCCAUUCCGCUUCUCUCUCUGGAGAAGUAUGAUCUCAUCCCCAGAGCAAGACCUAAAAGAGCUCCGAGCGGGUGCAGUACCGGGAUGUGGUCGCGCGGGGGCAGAAGACACCGCAGGGGGGAGCAGGGCCCUUGGAAGGCACGUGAAUGUUUCUCAUUUUGCAAGGCUGAUUUCCUGGUAGCAACCUCCUUGAGGCACCUGAGAGAUCCUUGUGGAUUUCCUGUCAAUGCCUGGGUUACAAGAAGGAAACCAACCCGAGAUAAUGAGAUGCAGAGUCUUCCCCUUAUUUAGCUCUCUCAUUAUUUGUGCAGAACUGGGGAUUGAGGCCAGGACUCUGCAAGCCACGCACCCUGCCAGGCCUCCAUUUCUCUAGGUAUCUGAGGCUAACUUCUGAGUCUUCUGCCCCACAUGCUAUUUCAAGUCUUUUAACGUGAUUGUUUUUUAAUUUAUGCAACUUGAAAAGAGCCAUUUUCAGCGAGAUAAAAAUAAAAGUUCCCAUAUGAAUGU